rnacentral:lncRNA from 1 species
CUGAAUUGGGUUGGAUGACCGAACGAGAUGAGUUUUGUGGGUUAAUGUUGGAUUGAAGUGGCAAUAAGUUGACUGGGAAUGUAUCUAUAUAUUUCAUGAGGCUUGUCAAAUUUAGCACUCCAAUUUUGAGUAACAAAGGUUAGAAGUUUAAAUUUUAGCUUCCACUCUUUGCUUUGGAUCAUGGAUUUCAUUAUACUUCACCAUUGCAGUCUGGUGGAGUACUUUCUAGUUUGCUGAUGUUUUUUCUUCUUUAUGUAUGUAAGAGCACCAUCGUGUCGUUAUUUGUUUAGUUGAGUAUUCUUGUCGGAAGUGCUAUAUAUUUGCGUUUACCAAAUUAACUUCCAUGAUAACUUUGAUCUCAUUAUAUCAUUUUUGGUUAUUGAAGUGCAGAAGACAGUGGAUGAAGAUGCCUCAACCCCCUCCACGGUCACUGCAUCUCAACUUGGAGUUCACGUAGGGUUCUUGAAAGGGGUGAACGUUGUAUGAACAAAUUUUAUGUUAUUGGUUGCGAUGAUUUUUGUAUAAACAGGUCCAAAUUGACUUACACUUUUGCUUGCCUAGCUCGUUCAUGUAAUUGUUGUUGGUUGCAAUGAAUGUUAUAUAAACCCGGUAUGCAGGCGCACAUGGAUGAUCCUAGAUUUUUGUACAUUAUGUUUGAAUGUGUUNGUAACAUAGUUCGGCAAUGGUGAGCAAGAGCACCUCCAUUGUCUACGUACUGUUUUCUUCAUAUUUUGGUAGAUUUUGGUAUUGGACCUACUAUGGACGAGGACAGAAACAAUCUGUCGGGAACGGCAUGUAUACUGUCGGGAACGACAGAUUAACUGUCGGGAUGUAAG